CUUUCCCUCUGUCGGCAUGCCUUACACAUGCAAGUCGAACGGUAACAGGUCUUCGGAUGCUGACGAGUGGCGAACGGGUGAGUAAUACAUCGGAACGUGCCCAGACGUGGGGGAUAACGAGGCGAAAGCUUUGCUAAUACCGCAUACGAUCUAAGGAUGAAAGCAGGGGACCGCAAGGCCUUGUGCGUUUGGAGCGGCCGAUGGCAGAUUAGGUAGUUGGUGGGAUAAAAGCUUACCAAGCCGACGAUCUGUAGCUGGUCUGAGAGGACGACCAGCCACACUGGGACUGAGACACGGCCCAGACUCCUACGGGAGGCAGCAGUGGGGAAUUUUGGACAAUGGGCGAAAGCCUGAUCCAGCAAUGCCGCGUGCAGGAUGAAGGCCUUCGGGUUGUAAACUGCUUUUGUACGGAACGAAAAGGCUCUGGCUAAUACCUGGGGCACAUGACGGUACCGUAAGAAUAAGCACCGGCUAACUACGUG
rnacentral:rRNA from 1 species